rnacentral:rRNA from 1 species
UACGUAGGCAGCAAGCGUUGUUCGGAGUUACUGGGCGUAAAGGGUGCGUAGGCGGUUGUUUUAAGUUUGGUGUGAAAUCUCCCGGCUCAACUGGGAGGGUGCGCCGAAUACUGAAUGACUAGAGUGCGGGAGAGGAGAGUGGAAUUCCUGGUGUAGCGGUGAAAUGCGUAGAUAUCAGGAGGAACACCGGUGGUGUAGACGGCUCUCUGGACCGUAACUGACGCUGAGGCACGAAAGCGUGGGUAGCAAAACAGG